CGGCUGCAUUUCUAACUACCAGG
rnacentral:snRNA from 1 species